rnacentral:lncRNA from 10 species
CGAUCUCCUGACCUCGUGAUCCGCCCGCCUCGGCCUCCCAAAGUGCUGGGAUUAGAAGCGUGAGCCACCGCGCCGGGCCACCCCUACAUAGUUUCUAAUAAACAUUACUGUGUUGGCUUCAUAAUUAUAUUAUAUCAAGGGGAUAUAUUAUUAUUUACUUCUAAAGGCUGCAAAAAAAUCUGAAUUAAAGAUUUGACUGGACUCCCUACCUCCCCGGCCCAAAGCUCCCAGGCCCAAAGCUCCCAUGCCUGAGCUCCUCAGCACUUGGAGAAGAGGUGGCAGCGGGGCAAACUGUCUCCAGACCACCACUGUAGGGAGAAGCAACCCGAUGCCAUGACACUGGCGGAGUGGAGAAAACAUUCCCACCACUGAGGAUUUUGCUAUGAGGGUUAUCAUGAUUAUGAUAUGACUAGCUACGAUUUACUGAGUUCCUUUAUGUUAGGCAUUGUAUUAUACCAUUUCCU